GGAUGUGCGGGUGAGCUGGCUGCGACAUCUGUCACCCCAGUGAUGACCAGAGUCAAUUUGGCUGAUCAGGCUGGCUAGGUAGGUUCCCCUUCCUCCAUCACGGCCCCAUGUGCGUCCUUCCUGAAGCUGUGUGCUCAAAGAGGACGGCCUUCCCCGAAUAGAGACAGACCCAUCUUUGAGUGUACAACUAGCUGAGUUCCUCUGCUAGAACCUCCAAACAAGCUUUGAAGGUCUCAGUGUCCUUUUUUUUCCUCUUCUCUCUCCGGGUCCUGAUGGAAUUGGGGUUCAGAGCCCUCUGAUCAUCUUCCCCUGACAUUUCUCCCCCUCUGGGAGUCUGGACCCAAAU
ensembl:misc_RNA 7SK 7SK RNA